UACGUAGGGUGCAAGCGUUAAUCGGAAUUACUGGGCGUAAAGCGUGCGCAGGCGGUUUUGUAAGCCAGAUGUGAAAUCCCCGGGCUUAACCUGGGAAUGGCAUUUGGGACUGCAAGGCUCGAGUGCGGCAGAGGAGACUGGAAUUCCUGGUGUAGCAGUGAAAUGCGUAGAUAUCAGGAGGAACACCGAUGGCGAAGGCAGCUCUCUGGGACGUGACUGACGCUGAGACGCGAAAGCGUGGGGAGCGAACAGG
rnacentral:rRNA from 1 species